UCGUAACAAGGUUUCCGUAGGUGAACCUGCGGAAGGAUCAUUGUCGUGACCCUGACCAAAACAGACCGCGAACGCGUCACCCCUGCCCGCCGAGCGCUCGCGCGCGAGGCAACCGAGGCCCCCGGGCCGCAACAGAACCCACGGCGCCGACGGCGUCAAGGAACACAGCGAUACGCCCGCGCCGCCCGGUCGGCCCUGGCCGUCCGGCGGCGCGGCGCGAUACCACGAGUUAAUCCACACGACUCUCGGCAACGGAUAUCUCGGCUCUCGCAUCGAUGAAGAACGUAGCGAAAUGCGAUACCUGGUGUGAAUUGCAGAAUCCCGUGAACCAUCGAGUCUUUGAACGCAAGUUGCGCCCGAGGCCAUCCGGCCGAGGGCACGCCUGCCUGGGCGUCACGCCAAAAGACGCUCCACGCGCCCCCCCUAUCCGGGAGGGCGCGGGGACGCGGUGUCUGGCCUCCCGCGCCUCGCGGCGCGGCGGGCCGAAGCUCGGGCUGCCGGCGAAGCGUGCCGGGCACAGCGCAUGGUGGACAGCUCACGCUGGCUCUAGGCCGCAGUGCACCCCGGCGCGCGGCCGGCGCGAUGGCCCCUCAGGACCCAAACGCACCGAGAGCGAACGCCUCGGACCGCGACCCUAGGUCAGGCGGGACUACCCGCUGAGUUUAAGCAUAUCAAUAAGCGGGAGG
rnacentral:rRNA from 1 species